UAGAUACCCUGGUAGUCCAUGCCGUAAACGUUGGGCGCUAGGUGUGGGGCUCAUUCCACGAGUUCCGUGCCGCAGCAAACGCAUUAAGCGCCCCGCCUGGGGAGUACGGCCGCAAGGCUAAAACUCAAAGGAAUUGACGGGGGCCCGCACAAGCGGCGGAGCAUGCGGAUUAAUUCGAUGCAACGCGAAGAACCUUACCAAGGCUUGACAUACAGAGUAAACCGGCAGAAACGUCGGGUCCGCAAGGGAU
rnacentral:rRNA from 1 species